UUAGAGUUUGAUCCUGGCUCAGGAUGAACGCUGGCGGCAUGCCUAAUACAUGCAAGUCGAACGAGAGGAAGGAAAGCUUGCUUUUCUGAAUCUAGUGGCGAACGGGUGAGUAACACGUAGGUAACCUGCCCAUGUGCCCGGGAUAACCUCUGGAAACGGAUGCUAAAACCGGAUAGGUAGCAGACAAGCAUUUGACUGCUAUUAAAGUGGCUAAGGCCAUGAACAUGGAUGGACCUGCGGUGCAUUAGCUAGUUGGUGAGGUAACGGCCCACCAAGGCGACGAUGCAUAGCCGGCCUGAGAGGGCGGACGGCCACAUUGGGACUGAGACACGGCCCAAACUCCUACGGGAGGCAGCAGUAGGGAAUUUUCGUCAAUGGGGGGAACCCUGAACGAGCAAUGCUGCGUGAGUGAAGAAGGUCUUCGGAUCGUAAAGCUCUGUUGUAAGAGAAAAACGACAUUCAUAGGGAAUGAUGAGUGAGUGAUGGUAUCUUACCAGAAAGUCACGGCUAACUACGUGCCAGCAGCCGCGGUAAUACGUAGGUGGCGAGCGUUAUCCGGAAUGAUUGGGCGUAAAGGGUGCGUAGGUGGCAGAACAAGUCUGGAGUAAAAGGUAUGGGCUCAACCCGUACUGGCUCUGGAAACUGUUCAGCUAGAGAACAGAAGAGGACGGCGGAACUCCAUGUGUAGCGGUAAAAUGCGUAGAUAUAUGGAAGAACACCAGUGGCGAAGGCGGCCGUCUGGUCUGUUGCUGACACUGAAGCACGAAAGCGUGGGGAGCAAAUAGGAUUAGAUACCCUAGUAGUCCACGCCGUA
rnacentral:rRNA from 1 species